ensembl:snRNA U6 U6 spliceosomal RNA
GUGCUCACUUCCACACCACAUAGACUAAAAUUAGAAUACAAAUUAGCAUGGUCCCUGAACAAGGAUAAAAUGCAAAUUCAUGAAGCAUGCUUUUUUUUU